rnacentral:rRNA from 1 species
UACAGAGGGUGCAAGCGUUGUUCGGAAUUAUUGGGCGUAAAGAGCUCGUAGGCGGUUUGUCGCGUCUGCUGUGAAAACUCGGGGCUUAACUCCGGAUCUGCGGUGGGUACGGGCAGACUAGAGUGAUGUAGGGGAGACUGGAAUUCCUGGUGUAGCGGUGAAAUGCGCAGAUAUCAGGAGGAACACCGAUGGCGAAGGCAGGUCUCUGGGCAUUAACUGACGCUGAGGAGCGAAAGCAUGGGGAGCGAACAGG